rnacentral:snoRNA from 1 species
GAGGUCAUACUUCAAAGGAUCAUUUCUUUAGUAUGAUUGCUCCUACCCUUAGCCAAUUUGGCGAAGGAACAAACCUCGAUGCGGAGUUAUAGCGUCUUCUCCUGAGCGUGAGGCGGACUUAAAUCGUACGUCAGUGCGUUCUAGGUCCACGAUGACCGUUCCGGACUACUCUCGGGUAGCUCGGAGGGGGGAGACGCAGUCUGAGAGGU